rnacentral:sRNA from 1 species
GCCGGGAGCGGCGGUGCAUGCCUGUAAUCCCAGUGGCUCGGGAGGCUGAGGCAGGAGGAUCGCAGGUUCAAAGCCAGCCUCAGCAACAGUGAGGCGCUAAGCAACUCAGGGAGACCCUGUCUCCA